UAGGGAAUAUUGCGCAAUGGAGGAAACUCUGACGCAGCGACGCCGCGUGGAGGAUGAAGGCUUUCGGGUCGUAAACUCCUGUCGGAAGGGACGAAAGUUUUAGGGCUAAUAUCCCUAAAACCUGACGGUACCUUUAAAGGAAGCACCGGCUAACUACGUGCCAGCAGCCGCGGUAAUACGUAGGGUGCAAGCGUUGUUCGGAAUUAUUGGGCGUAAAGCGCGUGUAGGUUGUUAUGUAAGUAGAGUGUGAAAUCCCUGGGCUCAACCGAGGAAGUGCACUCUAAACUACAUGACUAGAGGGAAGUAGAGGAAGGUGGAAUUCCAAGUGUAGAGGUGAAAUUCGUAGAUAUUUGGAGGAAUACCGGUGGCGAAGGCGACCUUCUGGGCUUCUCCUGACACU
rnacentral:rRNA from 1 species